UGGGGAAUCUUGCACAAUGAGGGAAACCCUGAUGCAGCGACGCCGCGUGAACGAUGAAGCCCUUCGGGGUGUAAAGUUCUUUCGACGGGGACGAUAAUGACGGUACCCGGAGAAGAAGCUGCGGCUAACUACGUGCCAGCAGCCGCGGUAAUACGUAGGCAGCAAGCGUUGUUCGGAAUUACUGGGCGUAAAGAGUGCGUAGGUGGUUGGCCAAGUUUGGUGUGAAAUCUCCCGGCUUAACUGGGAGGGUGCGCCGAAAACUGGUUGACUAGAGUGUGGGAGAGGGACGUGGAAUUCCUGGUGUAGCGGUGAAAUGCGUAGAUAUCAGGAGGAACACCUGCGGUGUAGACGGCGUCCUGGACCAUGACUGACACUGAGGCACGAAAGCGUGGGGAGCAAACA
rnacentral:rRNA from 1 species